rnacentral:tRNA from 1 species
CCCCUCGUCGUUCAACGGAUAGGACGGACCCUUGCGGAGGGUCUGAUGCGGGUUCGAUUCCUGCCGAGGGGA